rnacentral:RNase_P_RNA from 1 species
GCCGCUUCAUUGCCGUCCUCUUCGGGGAGACAGAUGGAGGGGAGGAAAGUCCGGGCUCCAUAGGGCAGGGUGCCAGGUAACGCCUGGGAGGCGCAAGCCUACGACUAGUGCAACAGAGAGCAAACCGCCGAUGGCCCGCGCAAGCGGGAUCAGGUAAGGGUGAAAGGGUGCGGUAAGAGCGCACCGCGCGGCUGGCAACAGUUCGCGACAGAACCCGGCUUACCGGUCAACUCCCUCGACAAAAGAAAACCCCGCGCAACGCCAGUUGCGCGGGGUUUUUCGUUUUCCGGCCGGCUUACACCGGCAGAUCAAU